CAGCGCUGGCUGAGCCUACGGCCGUGGUUAAGACGACGCAACGAAACUUUUACGUGCAAAGCAUCUUCAUCGGCUCCCGUGCUUUGAGACUGGGGAAGCCUGGAAGAAAUGAGCAUCCCGCCCCGCCCCGCCCCACUACUUGAUGGCGACGGGUUACUCUGGAGUCAAUUAACGUAGAUGCUGGCAGCUGAAGUGAAACCUCUUCAGUGCCAGCAUCUAAUUCACUCAGCCAUGUUUCCCGCUCAGAGCUCUCUCUGCAAACCUAGCAGGCAAAGUGACAAGGUGAAUUCAGUCGCAGGGCCUGCUUGUGCUUGGACCUGGUUCACUAAAGACUGGACAGAUGCUGAGCAGAACGUGUGAAGUCCCCCUACCGCCAGCUCAGAAAAUGCACAGGUGUUGGCUAACAGCGGUGUACAGGCGAGCAGAGGAAGAAGAGAGACCAAACCUACUCUCAUGUUUACAUCACUGCUGUCAUGCCGCAUGGUGAGGCUAGAGGCUGGGGAGUCUUGGGGUGCAUUUAACAGAAGGGUGUACAGGUAAAGUUGAGAAGGCUGGUAACUAGUAACAGCCAGUGGACACAGAAGGGCAAAUGUGCUCCAAACCAUAGACAUGCUUAGCUUUGAUAGUUAAAAGGAGUUGUCUGAUAUUCCCAGCCGGUUUUUACUAAGCACCAACCAUGUGGAUGUCCUUCGUCACUGUUGGGCCUGCAGCACCAAGGCUGGAACAGACGCUGGAUCAUGUGACACUGAGCUGCUGGCCAUGUUGGAUGUUAACAGCUGCAAGGAGAGGGCAGUGCUGGUCUGGCCACAAGAUCUGUGAUGUUUGAGGUUACAGUGGAUGCUCAAGGCAGGGUGUAAUCCCUGAGUAUUUACCUGUAUGACUAUGCCUCCACAAAUUCACUUUAAUUCAAACUGAGCCUCGUUCUAACCCUCGACCACCUGGAGAAGAGUGUGUUUAUUCUAAGGGAUCACUGGUGCAUGCCUCCUUACUCUCAAGGACACCAGCAGCACCGCUAGUAGAGGUAGAAGACAGGGCCUCUGAGUUUUAGGUCCUAAGUUUUCUGACUGCAUAGACACUCAAGGAUGUGCAUUCUCAAAGUCCUCCAGGGACAUCUGCUGACAGGGGACCACUGGGACUGGCUGAGUUUUCUAGGUCCACUAAGUCCACUACAGUGGACUGGUUUCGCUGGUGCUCGCUGCCUCUUCUGGAUCCACAGAGCAGGUCUGGGUGCCCCAUCUUCACACAGCUCACAGCCUGCAACAUCUUCCACUUUUCUCCCAGCAUCAGCUCUUCAUUGAGAUCAAGUCAGGGCCUUAAACAGCAGAGCAAAACCUUCUAGAGCAUGUUGCUUGGAAGAUGAGUCUGCAGGAACUAGAAAGGGGCUCACUAACUUUUAGGAAUCCAAGAGAAAGAAAAAUGUGAAGAACUCAAUACAGGCUGGAGAGAUU